rnacentral:rRNA from 1 species
UACAGAGGGUGCAAGCGUUAAUCGGAAUUACUGGGCGUAAAGCGUGCGUAGACGGUUAUGUAAGUCAGGUGUGAAAGCCCCGGGCUCAACCUGGGAAUUGCAUUUGAGACUGCAUAGCUAGGGUGCGGAAGAGGGAAGCGGAAUUUCCGGUGUAGCGGUGAAAUGCGUAGAUAUCGGAAGGAACACCAGUGGCGAAGGCGGCUACCUGGACCAGCACUGACACUGAAGCACGAAAGCGUGGGGAGCAAACAGG